rnacentral:rRNA from 1 species
GAUGAACGCUGGCGGCGUGCCUAAUACAUGCAAGUCGAGCGAACGGACGAGAAGCUUGCUUCUCUGAUGUUAGCGGCGGACGGGUGAGUAACACGUGGAUAACCUACCUAUAAGACUGGGAUAACUUCGGGAAACCGUAGCUAACACCGGAUAAUAUUUUGAAUCGCAUGGUUCAAAAGCGAAAGACGGUCUUGCUGUCACUUAUAGAUGGAUCCGCGCUGCAUUAGCUAGUUGGUAAGGUAACGGCUUACCAAGGCAACGAUGCAUAGCCGACCUGAGAGGGUGAUAGGCCACACUGGAACUGAGACACGGUCCAGACUCCUACGGUAGGCAGCAAUAGGGAAUCUUGCACACUGGGCGAAAGCCUGACGGAGCGACGCCGCGUGAGUGAUGAAGGUCUUCGGAUCGUAAAACUCUGUUAUUGGGGAAGAACAUAUGUGUAAAUAACUAUACACAUCUUGACGAUACCUAAUCAGAAAGCCACGGCUAACUACGUG